rnacentral:rRNA from 1 species
GUCCCGUUCAACAGGAGUUUACGACCCGAAGAUCUUCGUCCUCCACGCGGCGUUGCGUCGUCAGGCUUGCGGGCAAUGCGAACAAUUCCCCACUGCUGCCUCCCGUAGGAGUCUGGGCCGUGUCUCAGUCCCAGUGUGUCCGUCCGCCCUCUCAGGCCGGAUACUGAUCGUAGCCUUGGUGAGCCAUUACGCC